AGCAGCUGAGCCCUCGGUCAGUGGCGCUCCCUGUAGAAGGAAACAUGAGGCACAUUCUCACAGCCGCCAUAGUAACACAUUGCACACAUCCCACAUAGAAAGUUCAAAAACGGGCACAACGAAACACCAUUUGGUCUGUUGAUUUAUACAUAGGUACCAAGACACGAAGAUAAACACAAGAAUGACAAGCAAGCUCAGGAUGGGGUUUACUUGGUGGGGGAGAUUUCACCCCAUGGUUCAGCAUUGAGGCACUGCAGGUCUCCUUAAGCUGGACAGAGGGAUGCUGGCAUUCACUGAGCUGCACAUGGAUGUUGUACGCACUCUUUAGCGUGUGUGACGUAUCGCCCAGUAAUUUUUGUUGAAAAUACCUUUCGAUAUUUUCCUCUCCAUCUUUCUCCUCCCUCUCAUCAUUGUAGAAGACGCUGAGGGUGUCGCAUUCGUUUCUGCCACCUUCCUGUCAGGACUCACAGGUGGAAAGGAAUCGUCAAGGAUGGAUCAGCGUCCAUUGAUCAGAUUGGACUACGACUUUUCUGUCUAGAGGUAGGCAUCAUGGCAGUUCUGUCCAAGGUUAUUAAUAAAUGAAUAAGGAAACUUCCCAUAUAUUUCCUUGUUCUGUUUCUCGUACGUUUGAAUGAACCCAACCAAUAAAACUAUCUAUCUUGAUCCUCGCACCCUUUUUUAAGCAUAAAUUUUGGCAUCACUGGAAAUCAGUCCUUAGUUACUCUAUCUUUCAAGAUUUUCCACUUCUAAAGUGAAUUUUUUAGAAAUAUUCUUUGAAAUUAGUCCUUAUUUCAAGAUGCUCACAUUUAUUUUCUUAGCUACCCAGAAAGUUCUCUAUAGUCUUUUCUUUCUAUCUUCACCUAAAAAGAAUUAAAGAGAAAUUAGGUUAAUUUCUGUAUAAUUUCCAUAGUUUAUUGUCUUUUAAUUGUUAAUUUUUGGCUUAACAUUGUUCUUUCCUCCUGUUUUUCUUACAUUUCCCUUGCCUUUCCUUUCCUAACUUGGACUGACUCUUUGAUCAGUUUCACUCAUAUCUCAUUUCUACCAUUUAGUUUCAUUUUUGAGGCCACAGCUCUUUCUUUCAUCACUGCUUUCAAAGCACCUUUAUGUCUGAUAUGGAGAAUUCUCAUUUGCACUAUUUCCUAAGAUGUUUGAAAUCACACAUUCAAGCUGAGUUUUGUUGUUGUUUUUUUUUAGGAGAUUUCAAUUUUUCCCCAUGUGACACAAGUUUGUGAUCACAGAAAAUGGAGGAUAUAAUUUCUCCCAUUUGAAAUGUAUUAAGG
rnacentral:lncRNA from 1 species